UCUUGGCCAUAAAUUAAAAGAAAUUUACCAGGGUACUAUGAAUACUUAAAAUUUAAAACUCAAAGGACUUGGCGGUGUUUUAGACCUCUCAGGGGAACCUGUCUCAUAAUCGAUAAUCCACGCAAUAUCUAACCUUUUUUAGUAAUUCAGCCUGUAUACCGUUGUCGUCAGGUAACUUUUUAGAAACUAGAAGUUAGCUAAAAAUAUUUAUAAAUUAGUACGUCAAAUCAAGGUGCAGCCUAUAAAAAGGAGAGGAUGGGUUACAAUUAUAUAUUUAUAAUUACGGAAAAUCAUGAGAAUUCAUGAUAUAGAAGGAGGACUUGAAAGUAAAUUAGAAUAUAAAAAUAAUUUGAAUAAGGCUCUGAAAUGUGU
rnacentral:rRNA from 1 species